UACGUAGGUGGCAAGCGUUAUCCGGAUUUACUGGGUGUAAAGGGCGUGUAGGCGGGAUCGCAAGUCGGGUGUGAAAUUCCAGGGCUCAACCCUGGACGUGCACUUGAAACUGUGGUUCUUGAGUGAUGGAGAGGCAGGCGGAAUUCCGUGUGUAGCGGUGAAAUGCGUAGAUAUACGGAGGAACACCAGUGGCGAAGGCGGCCUGCUGGACAUUAACUGACGCUGAGGCGCGAAGGCGUGGGGAGCAAACAGG
rnacentral:rRNA from 1 species